rnacentral:rRNA from 1 species
UAUACAUAUCAAUAAGCGGAGGAAAAGAAACCAACAGGGAUUCCCCUAGUAACGGCGAGUGAAGCGGGAACAGCUCAAAUUUGAAAUCUGGCCCUUGGGUCCGAGUUGUAAUUUGCAGAGGAUGCUUUUGGUGCGGUGCCUUCCGAGUUCCCUGGAACGGGACGCCUUAGAGGGUGAGAGCCCCGUACGGUUGGACACCAAGCCUAUGUAAAGCUCCUUCGACGAGUCGAGUAGUUUGGGAAUGCUGCUCAAAAUGGGAGGUAUAUUUCUUCUAAAGCUAAAUAUUGGCCAGAGACCGAUAGCGCACAAGUAGAGUGAUCGAAAGAUGAAAAGCACUUUGAAAAGAGGGUUAAAUAGCACGUGAAAUUGUUGAAAGGGAAGGAUUUAUGACCAGACUUUUUCUAGGGGGAUCAUCCGGUGUUCUCACCGGUGCACUUCCCCUAGUUGAGGCCAGCAUCGGUUUCUGUCGGGGGAUAAAAGCUUCAGGAAUGUGGCUCCCUCCGGGGAGUGUUAUAGCCUGUUGCAUAAUACCCUGACGGGGACCGAGGUUCGCGCAUUGCAAGGAUGCUGGCGUAAUGGUUAUUAAUCACCCGUCUUGAAACACGGACCAAGGAGUCGAACAUUUGUGCGAGUGUUUGGGUGUUAAACCCUCACGCGUAAUGAAAGUGAACGGAGGUGAGAGCCUUUCGGGGUGCAUCAUCGACCGAUCCUGAUGUCUUCGGAUGGAUUUGAGUAAGAGCAUUAAUGUUCGGACCCGAAAGAUGGUGAACUAUGCGUGGAUAGGGUGAAGCCAGAGGAAACUCUGGUGGAGGCUCGCAGCGGUUCUGACGUGCAAAUCGAUCGUCAAAUCUGCGCAUGGGGGCGAAAGACUAAUCGAACCAUCUAGUAGCUGGUUACCGCGAGUCC